rnacentral:rRNA from 1 species
AGAGUUUGAUCAUGGCUCAGAUUGAACGCUGGCGGCAGGCCUAACACAUGCAAGUCGAGCGGUAGCACAGAGAGCUUGCUCUCGGGUGACGAGCGGCGGACGGGUGAGUAAUGUCUGGGAAACUGCCUGAUGGAGGGGGAUAACUACUGGAAACGGUAGCUAAUACCGCAUAACGUCGCAAGACCAAAGUGGGGGACCUUAGGGCCUCAUGCCAUCAGAUGUGCCCAGAUGGGAUUAGCUAGUAGGUGGGGUAACGGCUCACCUAGGCGACGAUCCCUAGCUGGUCUGAGAGGAUGACCAGCCACACUGGAACUGAGACACGGUCCAGACUCCUACGGGAGGCAGCAGUGGGGAAUAUUGCACAAUGGGCGCAAGCCUGAUGCAGCCAUGCCGCGUGUGUGAAGAAGGCCUUCGGGUUGUAAAGCACUUUCAGCGGGGAGGAAGGCGNNNNNNNNNNNNNNNNNNNNNNNNNNNNNNNNNNNNNNNNNNNNNNNNNNNNCGAUUGACGUUACCCGCAGAAGAAGCACCGGCUAACUCCGUGCCAGCAGCCGCGGUAAUACGGAGGGUGCAAGCGUUAAUCGGAAUUACUGGGCGUAAAGCGCACGCAGGCGGUCUGUCAAGUCGGAUGUGAAAUCCCCGGGCUCAACCUGGGAACUGCAUUCGAAACUGGCAGGCUAGAGUCUUGUAGAGGGGGGUAGAAUUCCAGGUGUAGCGGUGAAAUGCGUAGAGAUCUGGAGGAAUACCGGUGGCGAAGGCGGCCCCCUGGACAAAGACUGACGCUCAGGUGCGAAAGCGUGGGGAGCAAACAGGAUUAGAUACCCUGGUAGUCCACGCCGUAAACGAUGUCGAUUUGGAGGUUGUGCCCUUGAGGCGUGGCUUCCGGAGCUAACGCGUUAAAUCGACCGCCUGGGGAGUACGGCCGCAAGGUUAAAACUCAAAUGAAUUGACGGGGGCCCGCACAAGCGGUGGAGCAUGUGGUUUAAUUCGAUGCAACGCGAAGAACCUUACCUGGUCUUGACAUCCACAGAACUUUCCAGAGAUGGAUUGGUGCCUUCGGGAACUGUGAGACAGGUGCUGCAUGGCUGUCGUCAGCUCGUGUUGUGAAAUGUUGGGUUAAGUCCCGCAACGAGCGCAACCCUUAUCCUUUGUUGCCAGCGGUUAGGCCGGGAACUCAAAGGAGACUGCCAGUGAUAAACUGGAGGAAGGUGGGGAUGACGUCAAGUCAUCAUGGCCCUUACGACCAGGGCUACACACGUGCUACAAUGGCAUAUACAAAGAGAAGCGACCUCGCGAGAGCAAGCGGACCUCAUAAAGUAUGUCGUAGUCCGGAUUGGAGUCUGCAACUCGACUCCAUGAAGUCGGAAUCGCUAGUAAUCGUAGAUCAGAAUGCUACGGUGAAUACGUUCCCGGGCCUUGUACACACCGCCCGUCACACCAUGGGAGUGGGUUGCAAAAGAAGUAGGUAGCUUAACCUUCGGGAGGGCGCUUACCACUUUGUGAUUCAUGACUGGGGUGAAGUCGUAACAAGGUAACCGUAGGGGAACCUGCGGUUGGAUCACCU